UGGGUAACAGAAUUGUUCUUGUUAUCUUAUGUAUUCAUUAGGCUGGGGACAGCUCUCUGAAAAUAGGAAUAAAUAGUGGCUCCUCGAUAAACAUCUUCUUGCCUACAGCAUGUAUGACUGCAAACACAUUCCCACUUCAACUAAUCCAAGAUGAGAAGGAUGACAAAAUAAGAGAUAUCAUGGGAAAAACUGCCCAUUUCUGUUUUGUCCACUUUGCUUUGGGAAGUGAGAGCUAUACUCAUUAUCACCACAUCCCCUGGCAUCCAACUCCAUCCUCUUCACCACUGCUCACUAAGGGACAGUUCUGCAGCAGGCAUCCCAUGUAGGAAGCUCAAGGAGGCCGUUGUCACUGGAGAGAGAACCAGAAGGGACCUUAGAAGUCAGCUUACUCAACCCUCCUGCCUCCAGCCCCACUGUACAGAUGAUGAAACUCAAGCCCAAAAGGGCAGGGUUGCCCCAGGUUCCACUGUGUAUAACAAGGAUUCUGAAUACAGGUUUGCCUCAUUUUAUUUAUUUUCCCUUUUUUUUUUUUUUUACAAAUUUAAGAUUUGUGGCAACUGUGCGUUCAGCAAUUCUAUUUGCGCCAUUUUCCCAACAGCAUGUGCUCACUUUACGUGUCCGUGUUGCAUUUUGGUAAUACUCACAUUAUUUCAAACUUUUUUUUGUUAUUGUUAUAUCUGUUGUGGUGAUCUGCCAUUAGUAAUUUUUGACUUUAAAAUUACAAUUGUUCUGGAGUAUCACAAGCCACACCUGUGUUAAAUGGAAAAUUUUCGACAAAUACUGUGUGUAUUCUGACAGCUCUACUGACAGGCCACACCCUCAUUGCUCUUUCCUUUUCAGACAUCCCUAUUCUCUGAAGGAAGUCAUUAUUCCCACAAUGAUAUUAAAAUUAGGCCAAUUCAUAACCUUAAAAUGACCUGUUAAGUGUUCAAGUGAAAGGAAGUGUCACAUGUCUCUCAUUUUAAAUCGAAAGCUAGAAAUGAUUAAGCUUACUGAGGCAAGUAUAUCUAAAGCUGAGAUAGGUUGGAAGCUAUACCUCUUGUGCCAAAAAAUCAGCUAAGUUGUAAAUCCAAGGAAGGGAUCUUGAAGGAAAUUAAAAAUGCUCCUCCAGUGAACACAUAAAUGGAAAGAAAGUAGAACACCCUUAUUGUUGAUAUGAAGAAAGCUUUCAUUGUCUGGAAGGAAGAUCAAAGUAGCCACAACA
ensembl:lincRNA